UACGUAGGGGGCUAGCGUUGUCCGGAAUCAUUGGGCGUAAAGAGCGUGUAGGCGGCCCGGUAAGUCCGCUGUAAAAGUCAAAGGCUCAACCUUUGAAUGUCAGUGGAUACUGUCGGGCUAGAGUCCGGAAGAGGCGAGUGGAACUCCUGGUGUAGCGGUGGAAUGCGCAGAUAUCAGGAAGAACACCAACGGCGAAGGCAGCUCGCUGGGACGGUACUGACGCUGAGACGCGAAAGCGUGGGGAGCAAACAGG
rnacentral:rRNA from 1 species